rnacentral:rRNA from 1 species
GAUCAUGGCUCAGGAUGAACGCUGGCGGCGUGCCUAACACAUGCAAGUCGAGCGAAGCGCUUUGCUUAGAUUCUUCGGAUGAAGAGGAUUGUGACUGAGCGGCGACGGGUGAGUAACGCGUGGGUAACCUGCCUCAUACAGGGGGGAUAACAGUUAGAAAUGACUGCUAAUACCGCAUAAGACCACAGCACCGCAUGGUGCGGGGGUAAAAACGUACCGUCGGUGUGAGAUGACCCGG